CAUAAAAACGCGACAUGAUUAUUCAUGCAAAUGGCGCGAAAAGUGGCGUUGAUAAUGUAAAGGUUAAAAGUGACUAAUUAUUCCAACGAAAGUUGCAUCCUAAUGUGUAACAACUCGUAACAAUACGUAACACACAUUUCUGGAGGUUUUUGUUUGGUCUACGCCGAAAAUUCAGUUAACUUUUACUCUCUCGACACAUCCGCCCCGCUGUGAUUUACCUGGUGUGGCGCCAUGACUGGUACACCACUUGAUGGUAAUCGUUAUUUCAUCGUACAGUUAUUUUCAGGAAUGGAAUCCUGGAAAUGUUUAUGAAUCAUGGAAGCUCAUGUGAUUAACACCGCAAUGAAAUGGAAC